rnacentral:rRNA from 1 species
CGAUUGAUGACGCGGAGGGUCUUACCGAGUUUACAACUCCCAAACCCAAUGUGAACGUUACCAAACUGUUGCCUCGGCGGGAUCUCUGCCCCGGGUGCGUCGCAGCCCCGGACCAAGGCGCCCGCCGGAGGACCAACCAAAACUCUUAUUGUAUACCCCCUCGCGGGUUUUUUUAUAAUCUGAGCCUUCUCGGCGCCCCUCGUGGGCGUUUCGAAAAUGAAUCAAAACUUUCAACAACGGAUCUCUUGGUUCUGGCAUCGAUGAAGAACGCAGCGAAAUGCGAUAAGUAAUGUGAAUUGCAGAAUUCAGUGAAUCAUCGAAUCUUUGAACGCACAUUGCGCCCGCCAGUAUUCUGGCGGGCAUGCCUGUCCGAGCGUCAUUUCAACCCUCGAACCCCUCCGGGGGGUCGGCGUUGGGGAUCGGCCCUCCCUCUGCGGGGGCCGUCUCCGAAAUACAGUGGCGGUCUCGCCGCAGCCUCUCCUGCGCAGUAGUUUGCACACUCGCACCGGGAGCGCGGCGCGUCCACAGCCGUUAAACACCCAACUUUCUGAAAUGUUGACCUCGGAUCAGGUAGGAAUACCCGCUGAACUUAAGCAUAUCAAA